AGGCAACAGUAACUAGCGUAUUAGAAUAUCUGAGUAAUUGGUUUGGAGAAAGAGACUUCACUCCAGAACUGGGAAGGUGGCUUUAUGCAUUACUGGCUUGUCUUGAAAAACCUUUAUUACCUGAGGCUCAUUCACUGAUUCGGCAGCUAGCAAGAAGGUGCUCUGAAGUAAGGCUCUUAGUGGACAGUAAAGAUGAUGAGCGGGUUCCUGCUUUGAAUUUAUUAAUCUGUCUGGUUAGCAGGUAUUUUGACCAACGUGAUUUAGCUGAUGAACCAUCUUGAUUUGGCUGGUCUCUCUGGGAUAGAAGAUACUUGUGAUGAAGGCAGCCUGAGUCUGAGGAUAUACAGUGACAACUCAAGUAUAGAAUUGAAUCCUAUCUUCAACAUUAUUUGAAGGGUCUUCAUCUUAACCUGUGCAUUACAAGUUGACAUUCGGAAGAUAUAUUGAUUUGAGUGUCUGAAGUAUUCUUUGGAAAAUCCCAGCCAGCCAAUUUAUGACAGAACAGUUUAAACAGUUUUCUAUAAUUACAUGUUUUUAAAACAAAUUCAGUGCCAUUUAUUGGUGAAGCAUCCUGUACAGAAACUGUAUGAUAAAAUUUUAGAGAUCAUUGGUGCUUUUUCAUUGUUUCUUUAUACAUAUACACAUAAACUCUUAUUGAAAAUGUGUUUUGGUUAUUAAAAUCUUGUUUGACCCUUUCUUUUUAA